UUGAUGGUAUGAAGUUUGGGUUCCAUCAAAGUGAACAUAACUUGUGAGGGGUGUAAGCUCAAUCAUGGGUAACACUUAGAGACAACAUUUUGUUUAAGACUGGCUGUGUCGUUAUGUUCACAUUUUUCUACUUUUUUGCGCUAUUUGAUGUAGAUAUGAAGAAAAACAAAAAAAGAAACAGUUGAAAGAUGAAAGAUAAGAAUAUUAUAGCCUUGAAUAUGUUCUUAUCUUAAUAGUGUUCGUUCUAUUGUCAUUGAGAUUACUUGCAGUUAGUUUUUCUCAUUUCUUUUCUUUAGCUUUCGUGUUUCGUAUACCCAUUUGACUAUUUUUUCCUGGUCCUUUUUUCCCUAAUUGUUUGGAUUUGUGAAAAAUUGUUCUUGGCAAAGUGAAAAUCUAUAGCUACUUGUUUCGGUUUCUAUCUCUCUAUUGGUGAGGAAAUAGUCAUAUAUGUGUGCAUUUGUUAUUUUAGAGCUUCAAAUCUACCUUUUUUCUCAGACUCAUGUAGAGUUUUUUCAGGGUCGUAGAAGUUCUCAAGUAGGGCAUUUCCCCUUGAUGGGUUUCACGUAACAUAGUGUUCUCUACAGCUAUUACUAUGCGACCUACAAAUCAUGAUAGAAGAAGCCAUCACAUGCUUUUUAUCUAUGCAAGUGAGUCGGUGAUGAUUUUGUUGACUUAUUCGGUGAAUAUGGGUCAAUUUACCUAAGGAAACCCAUAGUUGAGGAGUAGUAUCAUUUUCUGAGUGGAAAGAACAUUUUUCCUUAACUUGAUUGAUAAUUUGCCAUUUGUGUCGCUUCACUUUUUCUUCUUGUCCUUAUAGUGGAUUGAUUCCUUGCUGCAAAUUUGUUGAAUGCAGCAUGUAGCAUACCAUUUUUUUGUUAGUGGUCUCAUUCAAACAUUUUACAACUUUGAUGUUGCAUUCUUUCCUUUCUUAUAUGUUUGUCAUUUGGUCCUACUUAAUUAUUCCCUUUAUAAGUGUUGACUAUCAUGUAUUUGUUUGGAUUUGAAGUUCUCAUUUUCUUUAAUAGUGUGGUUCAACUUUUAAAGAAUUUGGAAUCAUGAAUUGUUUGGAUCACUGACUAAUUAGAUUUCGAAAUCCAACAAAAAACAUAAGAUAAUGGAAUUAUGACUUUUCUAGUGCAUUAGACUGCUCUAGUGUGUUUGAUCAUAGAAUUUAGGUUGCUUAAUUUUUAUGCAUCUUAGUGUAGGUUGUUUGAGGUGGUAGGAGGGAGAAGAUUUUGAUACGCGAUAUUGUUGAGUGAUAUUUGAUGAUCAGAUUGUUCAGGAGGGUCUAGAGAUGAGGAGAGAGACAGUUACAUAGAAAGUUUGGGUGGAGGAGGUGGGGUAGGAGGUAUGCGAUGGUGAACUUAAAGUCCAAUGGGUGGCGUGUGGGUUGCAGACUCAGGGUGGGAAUUCUUGGAUUCAAAAAUAGGUGGGGAUCAACCCUAAGUGAUAAGUGGCAGAAUUAGUAUUUACCACCGAGUGUACAAGCAGCAUUUAAAGGGCACUAGUUGAGCUGAGCUUAUAGAAAAAGAGACAACAAAGAGGAGGACGGGUAUACUGAUAUGGGCUCUCAAGACCAUGGAUCUCAGUAAUUUGUUUCAGAUUUCUUCUCCUUCUUCUUCUCCAAGACAAUUAUACGAGAAUUCGGUUGGUAUGGCAUUAAAGGAUCAAUGCGUGGAAACAAGAGUUGCUGUAGAAGACGAUAUUCAGCUAGAUUAAAAGAUUGAGAAGAAUUGUGCAAGUUAGUAAAACAUUGGGGCUUGGAUUCAGAGGAAUUAGACGGGAUGAUCCUCAACUAUUGGAAAAGCUAGUAGAAAAAAUGAAAAACCUAAUCAGGAAUGGGGAAUAUCAAAUUGGGGUGUGAUCUUCCUAUCCUAUUUAGCAGGUAUUUGAGGUGUUUUGAAUGUG